rnacentral:rRNA from 1 species
AGUGAACGCUGGCGGUAGGCCUAACACAUGCAAGUCGAACGGCAGCACAGUAAGAGCUUGCUCUUACGGGUGGCGAGUGGCGGACGGGUGAGGAAUACAUCGGAAUCUACUUUUUCGUGGGGGAUAACGUAGGGAAACUUACGCUAAUACCGCAUACGACCUACGGGUGAAAGCAGGGGAUCUUUGGACCUUGCGCGAUUGAAUGAGCCGAUGUCGGAUUAGCUAGUUGGCGGGGUAAAGGCCCACCAAGGCGACGAUCCGUAGCUGGUCUGAGAGGAUGAUCAGCCACACUGGAACUGAGACACGGUCCAGACUCCUACGGGAGGCAGCAGUGGGGAAUAUUGGACAAUGGGCGCAAGCCUGAUCCAGCCAUGCCGCGUGGGUGAAGAAGGCCUUCGGGUUGUAAAGCCCUUUUGUUGGGAAAGAAAAGCAGCAGGUUAAUACCCCGCUGUUCUGACGGUACCCAAAGAAUAAGCACCGGCUAACUUCGUG